rnacentral:lncRNA from 1 species
UCUGCGCUAAAUGUGGUAGACCCGCUGACCAAGCCUCUCAGUCAAGUAAAAGACCGAAGCUCACUUUGAGAAGAUGGAUCUUAGAUAUAUGGCCAAUUGACUUUAGGUCAAGUGAGAGUUUGUUGGAUUUGUGCUCUAGAAGCCAAUUGUUGGCUGACACAUUAUGUAAUUCUAGGGCCUAUACUUGUACUUGUAAUUUUUUAUUAUCAAUAAAAAGUUUUUUCUUUCCAAUCAUAUUUAUGUAUCCAUGAUUUACUUUAGAAAUUAACAAAGAUGAUUUUUAUAUAUUCUUAAAGAGUUAAGAAUUUGAGACAUACAUUAAUUAAUGGUGAAUUUCUAAAUGCUCUCGAUCAAAGGAUCAUCAUGGAGGACAGUGAUCAAUCCAUUUGAGAUCGAUGCACGGUUCACCUCCCUUAUGGGCAGAUGAGUCUCGGAUCUACGGUGUAGAGAUACUGGGGUGAAGGUGCAGGUAGUUGUUAGAGAAUAACUUGCACUGAGUGUGACCAAUAUGAGAACCACAUGAAUGUCUACUUACUCAUCAGUGGUCUUCUUGAUGCUGCAGUGGUGUGAGUGGUCCUUUGACCUACGGUGUCAUUGGCUAUUCGCAGCGAGGCUACUGAAUUUGACUGCACAUUCCCUUGGUCCCUAGCCAUUCAGGUCCUUGCUGUGUAUGUUGGCUUCAGUAGGUUCAGAUUCGUUGUUUGGAAUAGGAUACACCUAAAUAGGAUCUAUCGACUUUGGUAAAAAAGGAGAAGUCAUAUGCGAUAUGUGAGACUGAGUUCAGAAAGUCUUUGGCCAAAGCAAGUGUGAAUACUGAAAAAGAGUUUCUUCAAAAUUCACAAAUGAACUCGAGUUGAGCCAAUCUAGCAUAUGAUUGAUGAUGGGGUCUGACGAGCUCUCCAUGACCUCCGUCAAGUCGGGACUCAUGAUAGAAUGACUGAAUCAAACGAUAACUGCACCUAAGGAUUCAUACUUUUAUUUUACUGAGUUGCCACUACAUACUGCUAGGUGUUACUGGUGGAUUGUGAGACUCAUUGGACGUCAUUUUGAUGAUCAAUGAUCCUUGAAGGGUGGAAUUAAAAAUAUUUCAAUCCAUCGAAAAGAGUUUCGAUGAUAUUGUGAUAGAGAUCACAAUAUAUUUUGCUACCAGAUAGAAUGAAACCUUUGAGGUCAUACAUUAAGGGAUUUAAUCUCGAAUUUAUCAAUUGGACUUAUGAAGUUCCAAUUGGGUUAGGGUUUAUUGAAAUCCUAUUAGGUUUAUGAGAACCAUGCUAGCAUACGGUUAAACUUAAUUCUUCUUGAGACUUUGAUUUGAUCCAGUCCAU